AGCAUUAAGCACAUCAGAGUGCAGUUACAUGCAUCGGAUUUUCUAAGUGGGGAACAUGAAAGAGACAGUCAAUCACUCGAUUUGUACAGCAUUAGAUCGUUCUGAAUUUGAGAGAAUUUGAGAAUCUGAAUUUGUGUCUUUGGUUAUAGAUAGUAUUUUGUAAUAUAACAAUUUUCUAUACAUACAGAGGCAUACUUUAAAUGUAUUGAAAUUAUAAGGCAUCUUUGAGUAAACUUCGAGUAUCAUUUGAGUAUCUCAUUGCCGGGCCGAGUGUCCUGGUUUUUGGUAAUCAAAAUAUGGUCACCCUAAGCUAAUGUAAAUUUCAUUCUUAAUAAUCGAUUUUAAGUUCACAUCUGCUGCAGAAGACUGACGUUCACAUAUUUCAUAAUGACGACUACAAGUAGGCCUACAGUCAAUGCAACAAACGGAAUUUUCUAAAUCUACUUUCCAGCCAAAUAAGUAACUUCACUUCUCUCUCUUUCGCUCUCUCUUUGCUUUUCUGCUUUUAGGCUCUUUGACAUUUACCCUAAACAUGGCUCAAGAACCAGGAAGGGGGGAAAAUGACCUUCUGUGAAAUAUGGUUUUGUUAACGCACUUUGACAUCAACCAUGAACAUGGCUCAAGAAACAAGAAGGGAAAAUGACUUCCAAGACUGGCAACACUGUGCAAAAAAGGAGCAGUACUGAAAAACUUGUAGGCCUACUAUUUGUUUUUACUCCACAUUUGGAAAAAUGUUAAAAGUAAAUAAGAUUGCUGUAUUGUUCAUUGAUAACUGUUGAGUGCAUUUAAAAUGUUGACCUUUCAACAUUGCAAUUUUCUGCUUUUU